GCCGAUGUGGCGGAACCGGUAGACGCGCUACGUUCAGGGCGUAGUGGGAGUAUUCCCGUGGGGGUUCGAAUCCCUCCAUCGGCACCU
rnacentral:tRNA from 1 species